UACAGAGGGUGCAAGCGUUAAUCGGAAUUACUGGGCGUAAAGCGUGCGUAGACGGUUACAUAAGUCGGGUGUGAAAGCCCCGGGCUCAACCUGGGAAUUGCAUUCGAGACUGCGUAGCUAGGGUGCGGAAGAGGGAAGCGGAAUUUCCGGUGUAGCGGUGAAAUGCGUAGAUAUCGGAAGGAACACCAGUGGCGAAGGCGGUUCUCUGGGCCUUACCUGACACUGAGGAGCGAAAGCGUGGGGAGCGAACAGG
rnacentral:rRNA from 1 species